CCCGCACCCCCGGCCCGUGUGCGGCGUUGUGCUGCGGCAGCACGAGGUUCAGUAACGGAGGGAAAGUGAGACCGUCAGCGACCUGACCUCUCUCACGCGCUUGGGGGUCAGACCCAGGGUGUCCUGCGGGCCGCGGUCUCCCACCUCCUCGAGGAACACGGUAUCUGCGAGUUGAAGUGUUCUAAAGCAGGAGAAGCAUGGCGCAGCCCCUGACUUGUUCUCUGAAGGUCUACGAUGCAGCUUGAAUUGAUGUCCAAUUGUUGGAGCACCGCUCACUGGAGAAUUUUACCUUCCCUGCUCAGCCACUCUGGGUCCCUUGACAGAAACCACUGACCAUGUGCGUUGGGUCUGUUUUUAGACACUCUGUUCUGAUGCAUUCAUCUUUCCUUUUUCCAGUACCAUACUCUUUUGAUUACUGAUGGUGUGCUAGUUAUUUUCCUGAAGGGUCCAUCAGUCAUCCGAGACCCUCUGCGUGCUGACGACCUGCGAGUGAAAUUCCUCCGACACAGGAUUUCUGCCGUGACUCUGAAGAUGUUUUAAGUUCGUGGCUGUCCCCCGGUGCCCGUGUCUCCUGUCGCUGCCUUGGCUUGUCCCCACAGACUCUGCAGGGGUCACAGCCGCGUCGCUCACACCCAGAGCACAGCCCUGCGGGAAGGUGGGCACUGGGACACGGGCACCCGCCCAGACCCUCUGCAGAGUCGGCGCCUCGCCAGCGGAUUCACCCCUGCCUUGGGCUGGACCUUGGGCCAGGGGGGUGGUCCUCUUCAGACCUUCCUGUAGUCCGCCCCCACCACCACCACCCCCCCCAGCAGCCAGCCUGGGUCACUUCUGCCGUCAGGAAGGACAAGAAAGCUGUUUUGAGAGAAGAGGUGAAGUUCCCAGUGGGGCCUCAGUCCAGCCACUGGGUGUCUCUGUCCCUGUAGGGCCAGCAAGUGGUCCCCAGGCUGGAGGGACUCCCAGGGUGGGGCCCAAGCACAGGCUUUUAGAGUCAGGUGGCCUCUGACCCCAGAGCCAUCCCCUCCGAGCCUUCCUGUCCUGCGGAUCCGCUGGACUCCAGGCCUCCUCGGCUCCUUGCUGAGUCUCCUGCCAGAUGAGCAGAUUCUCAGGCUGGUCCUGCUGAGCGGGAAAGUCUGGGGAUUCUGAUACUCACUCAUGUUUGGGGCCCUCUGCCCUCCAGACACUGGAGACUCCUUCCUUUCCUGGCCGACUGGCAAAGCACAUUCCUUGCUGUGAUCUGUCAGUGCUGUAGGUAACGUCCGUGAUGCUGUGGGGCUUUCGGGAUAAACCCCAAAUGUGCCCUCCUCUGUCCAGAUUGUGCCCAGAUCCGUGGGCCUGGCCCACUCUGCCCUGUAACCCUUCUCCCCAUCAGGUUCAGAAAGCCCACCCGGCCGCCGUCCCCACCGGGGACGUGCUCCCUGCUGGUGCUGGACCUCCCUGAGCCACAGCUCACAGCUGCGCCUGUGCCUCCCCGGGGCCGUCUCGUUCAUCACCGCUUACUCUCGCGGCUGACACAGAGGAGACUGUCAGUAAACGGGGGAUAAACAAAACCGUGAAUUCCUGAAGCGAAAGGUCCGCACCUCUCCCAGGAAGAAGUGUGUUGAACGGAGGACAGAAACGCGGCUCUGCUCACAGUCUUGUCAGUGUUAAGGGAAAGCGGUCAGCUCCCUGAGCUUAAAAAAGUCAGUUAGGCAUCUUUGUCAGGGUCCCCAAGACCACUGGGGCUCGAUUCACUCGGGGCCCCCAGGACCCAGCGGAGGCCGCACUCAGGCUGCGUUCAGGACGGAGAGCGGGAACAAGGCAGCCUCAGUGAGAGGAAGAGGAGCACGGCGGGGCGGGCGGGGGGAGAAGUCGGGGACCAGGCUGAGCUUCCAGAGCCCCCUCCCCACACACGACACGCUCAGUGCCCGCCACCAGCUGUGUGACACGGGAGGUGCCGUCCACCCCGCAGGGCCCCGGGGCUGUCCUGGGGGUGGUCCCGGGC